CACCGGAGACUUGAACUGGAAUCUAUUAAUUACAUCCGAACUGAUUCGGGGCAAACGUUGUUCCUUCCAUGUACCUAUUUCCAAAACAAUAGGUUCGACUGAAUUAAGUUUGGUCCGACUGCAAACCUUAGACAGAGAUGGACAAGUCAGCUCCAACGUGUCCUCAAGGUUAGAUGAGUUUUGUUAUUUUCGGUGAACAAAAGGAAAGAUCUAAAACAAUGAGCGAUAUGGUGUGAAGUAGAAGCCAUCACGAACAAAACAAUAACUUAACAUGAAAAAUACGUAUCAUUUCUACAUGUCUUAAUAGAAAAAAAUAUAUGGAAUCAAUAUGGAAUUCAAAAGCUACUCCAUAAGCAUUUCUUUUACACAUUUUAAAGCUUGAUGCAAGCGCCCGCUGAUCUGACUGCCUGCGGGUUGUUUUAUGUUUUCAACAUCUGAAAAUCGCUUGUUUCAUUGCUUGUGGUCAAAUGAUUAUUUUUUUUCUAUGAAAUUAUAAAUACUCUAAGCCUAUUCUUUAUCUCAGGUUACGUAAAUAUUAAAAACAGACAUUUUAUAUGCUAGGAAUUUUAUGCUAGCGGCUAUAACACGAUUGGGCAAAAGCAGGCGGCAUGACUUGACACGUCACAUCACCAGUGGAUACCACCCUUAUUUUGUUGGUAGCUAUAGCUUCGCUUUUAUAGCACGAUAGAGCAAGCAGGCGGAGAGACAAGACUUCACGAUGGAGCGAAAAAACUUUAAAAAAACGCUAGAAAAUUAUCUUUCUCGGUGCAACAGCUAUUCUCAUUCUGUUUAUAAUUGCGUUUUUACCUACCUUUCUUUACACAAACACAAGAAUAGACAAAAGCAUCCAGAGAAAUGGAUUUUUCUUUCGCGAGAUCUUGUCGUCGAGAACAACACAGUAAGUCUUAUUUUUGACAAUAUAACUGUUGGCAUUUUUUAGGCUUGAAGCAUACGUCGUACCUAACACGAACCUAAUUCAGUCAAAUCUAUUGUUUUGGAAAUAGGUACAUGGACGGUGCGACGUUUGUCGCGAAUUGGUUCGAGUGUGUUAAUAGAUUAAAUUUUCUGGUUGCAGAAGCCGGAAAAUAGGGGUUUCGCACAAGUUGAGAGCUAGAGAAGGUUUAAAAGCAGAUUUGAGGAGAUAUUGCUCCCCUAAACAACACCUGGUAGUUAGUGGAGUCGAAUUGUGUUAUACGUUUAAAAUUAUUUAAGUUAAUUUCGGGUGAAAAACCACAGGGUACCCGAGUUCGAAUUUUACAAAAUAAUUUAUUAAGCAUGCAAAACAUACAAUAAAGGCAUUGAAACAUCCUACAAAUAUACUUUCCAUAUGUUUCAAGUCGCUUCAACUAAUACGGCCUUAAACCACAGGGUGCCCGAGUCAUAUAUUUGCAAGGUUCCUCUGUGUUAACUCAUAAGCUUGGGAAAUAACCCAUAGAUUUUUUAUUCUUUUGUCGUUUAUAAUUCAGAAGCUACGUAAACAUAAUACUCCAGUGUCAAAUAUAGCAUCUGAGCUAAAUCUAAGCUCCUUUAUGCUUCUCUUUUAUAUCUAAAGAGACCACAGGGAUCCCAAGUCAAGUUUUUCUUUAAAUAACGAGUCAAUGGUAAAACACCUGGUGACAGCUCCUUGUCCUUGAAUGACUAAAUUAAAAGAAUGUUCACAAUGAAAGCCGACUGAGAUCUGUUUGGAAGACUUUGCAAAUGCAAGACAAGUCAACCUAGCAGUCCCCUGCGCAAUUGCCUACAAUGAUGGAAGUUUUAGGAAGUUCACCAUAAGUCGCAAUUCUUGAGGAAGCGUUUGACACAUAUGGUGUGUUGUUAAUAUCUUGGGUGGAAUGGCAUUAUUUAGAUGCAAACAUGUUUUGUGAGCUUGCGCAGAAAUAUUUCACCACCAUCAUGAGGCAGAUCACCACCCAAAGCUGCUCUAUUCUUAACAUGGCCUUUGAUGAGUAUUUGGAUACAACGAUUCAGGCUUUGAAGAGGGCCAGGAAAGGGUCUACAGAUGGUCUUGAGACCAAUACACAAUACACCAGAGUCACGACAAUGGUCCAAGUACAUAUAGAACCGAAAGAACAAGACCGUCUGAUGCCCGGGAAGGAUCUUUUCAUAUGAGGAGGUCUUUUCAAUGGAGAGAAAGCAGCCAAUGGCAGAAAUCAGGAAGCUUGAGUCCACAAAAUACAGGGCCUGGAUGAGGUAAACCGACUAGCGACAAACGGCUUAAAAAAAUAACUGAAUACCAACAAAACAUGAAAAAAAACUAGUGAAUAGCGACAAAAAAAUAUUUGCAGACAACCGACAUUUUAUUAUUUCGGAUAUUUUUACACUUUACUUCCAUCGUCAAUGGAUCGUCUACUUAAAUUCGGCCAUUUCAGAAUCUGCACUAUGCAUUUCCUGUUGCAUCAUCUUUUCAUUCAAUAAUUAAUCAAUAAUGAAUUUAUUAUCAAUAAGUUAUUCAUUACUAAUCCAUUAAAUAUGGUACAAGAGCGAUUACUAGCUUGGAUUCACGGACUACCGACAAAGACCGAUAAUUCUUACCGACUACCGAGAAAUUAUGGAAAUUUUAACUGACUACCGAGAUGCAGACCCCUACCCCAUCCUGACCCUGAAAGAACAGACACGCAAAUGAUUCUGCAUGCUGCCUACGAUGCAAGCGACUUCUCAACAGUCAUCAUUCAAUCCCUAGUACAGAUGUCCUCGCCCUUCGUAUCACGCACUUCAUUUCCAUCAGAUGUCAGAGGUUUUACUACUAGCAUUCCAUGUGUUAACCGGGUGCGAUUCCACAAGCAGCCUACCUGGUAGAGGAAAAAGGAAACCAUGGCUAACGCUAAGACAAAGAGCUGCACGCCAAUAGACGCUUAGUCUGUUUGGUCAGCAUCAAGUCCUCGAUAAUGAGAAAGCAGCGAAGACAGAGGCUCAGCUGACGAGCUGCGCCAUCUGAUGUUCUAACAUCAGACAGCCUCAUGCAACAUAUGGAGCGUGCCAGCUUCCAACCGUUCGGUUGUUGACCAAGUCCAGAGGAACAUGGAUAAGAAAAGCAAGACGGAAAUAUCAGGCCUGUCUACAUGACGAGAGACCCAGAUCCACCCAGUCUUAUCGAGCCGACAAGGUUUGGAUGCUUAUGUCAACGGAAGCCUGUUCAUGUAUGGCUGAAGAGGCGAAGAGCCCCCAUAACAUGGCGAGCAAGUAGAUGAGUCAGAGGACGAAAACAGUGAUAAUGAGUAGGAUCAAGUCCUGUUAUGCUAGCGCCAAACCUUAGCAAUUACCUUCUUUUUCUUUUACGAUGCAUUAAAUACAUUCUUUUUAUAUAGCUGAGAUGUCGGAUGAGAAGAGUCCGGGUACCAAAGCCUAGAUGGAAAGAGGGCUGAUCUAUGUUAUGCCUAUCAAGUAACUUUGUUUUCCAUUUUUAAAGAAGUAAUAUUUGGGCUCCCUGUGGUUUUAAUGUCAUGCAAGGAUAAACAUUUGGUACAAAAAAACGCAAUUUCAAUGCAGGACUGCAAUUGCUAAUAUUGCAUCUUUUCAUAUUAAGUUAGCAUAGCAUCCUGAUCAAACAUUCUCUGAAUAGUUAUCUAUGUGAGUCAUUCAUGCAAAUGUAAGACUCGGGCACCCUGUGGCUGUAUCAGUUGGAACCACUUGAAACAUAUGGAAAGUAUGUUUGUAGGAUCUUUCCAUGCUCAUAUUGUAUGUUUUUCAUGCUAAAUAAUUUAUUUUGUAAAAUUCAUACUCGGUUACACUGUGGUUUUCCACCCGGGAAAAAAAAAAAAAAAAACGUAAAUAAUUCUCCACUAACUACCAGGCGUUGUUCACAUGACCAAUAUCAACUUAAAUCUGUUUUCAAACCUUCUCUAACUCUCGACUUGUGCGAAACCUCCUGCUGGUACAAUAUGUGCGUUUUAAAGAAAUAGAUGUCAGUAGUCGUGUACUGUUUACAUUUAAAUGAUUGGAAGCUGUUUAAACUAAAUUUAACUCUCCGAAAAACAGUUUUUCUCGAUGAUUUUCGAUCUCAAUUUCUAUUCUAUAGCAUUCUUGUAUAUUUCACAUGCUUUGAAAAUGUUUUCCACGGCGGUGAAAACAAGAUCGACUUAAUUUCAGCAUAUAUCCAAAGCCAUUUUGAGUAGACAUUGCUUUUUCUUCGGGGCAAUCUUGUGGUAUUCUUCGCUAAUUAUCGGUUGUAGACUAUUGUUAUGAUGUACCAAAUGAGAAUGCUAGAAGUAAAAGAGAAUUUUAUUUAUUUUAUUGCCGAUAACAUGGAUUUUGAGUAGAAUCGAGCAAUUUAUUUCGCUCCCUAAUGAAAUGCGUUACGUUGCGAAGACGUCAUCUCGAAAGCAACGAUGAAGGCAACACGGACGGCGACUGCAGAGAACACAUGAAAAUUCAAAUAACCAGAAGUGAAAUGCACUCGAAAAUAGAUUCUCUCUGAUCAUAGUUAGUACUAUAGCGGUUAGCAUAAAGUCAUUUAUAGUCAUUUUAAUAGCCAAACAGCAUAAUUCAAGACCCAAGGAAAACUAAUUUCGCGGCAGCCCGUCAUGCUGCAAUCUUUGCCUAGCCGAGAAGCUAGAACGGACCGCACGUGACGCUACACUCUUAAAUAAACGAACCGAGCUAGUUACGAAAUGCCGCCAUUUAAUAAAUACCAUGCAACGAUCUAUGAAGGUAGUUGAACUGUUAGGUAAAUUCAGAGCCUAACGAUUGCUCCCUAAUGAAAUGCGUUACGUUGCGAAGACGUCAUCUCGAAAGCAACGAUGAAGGCAACACGGACGGCGACUGCAGAGAACACAUGAAAAUUCAAAUAACCAGAAGUGAAAUGCACUCGAAAAUAGAUUCUCUCUGAUCAUAGUUAGUACUAUAGCGGUUAGCAUAAAGUCAUUUAUAGUCAUUUUAAUAGCCAAACAGCAUAAUUCAAGACCCAAGGAAAACUAAUUUCGCGGCAGCCCGUCAUGCUGCAAUCUUUGCCUAGCCGAGAAGCUAGAACGGACCGCACGUGACGCUACACUCUUAAAUAAACGAACCGAGCUAGUUACGAAAUGCCGCCAUUUAAUAAAUACCAUGCAACGAUCUAUGAAGGUAGUUGAACUGUUAGGUAAAUUCAGAGCCUAACGAUUGCUUCAUAGCAUGAAACUCGCCGGUGCGCCAGGAACCAUACGUUCAUUACUACCCUUCGGUAGCCGCACGCUAAGGCGCAAAAACAACAGAAUGUGUGUGUCUCGUGCUGGGUGCCUGCGAACUGGUACCACUACACAUUUUAUUAGAAAUCAAACGUGGUAUAUAAAUACAAUGCAGAAAAUAUUCUUAACUUAAAAAUUAUAAUACCUAACAUAUUAGUGCAAGUACAAUUACACAAUUCAAAAAAAUCAAUAAUCUUUUGAAAAUACAACUUCAAAAUCACACGCCCGGUACGAAAACCCGGAUAAAACCCUAUAGGCAAAAAACCCGGGAAAUUAUUCCUCGAUCGAAUGCGUUGAUUAUAUAGCCUCGAGGAUUAAGGCCUUAAUCUAAUAUACCAUGAAGUUUGGUUACACAGUGGUACUAGCGUCCAACAUGCGAGAUGAAAUAAUUACCAUAUCUCUCAUAGCUUUAUCGUAUAUAUACGAUAUGUAGUGCUAAAGUAGUUACGUAAUAAAAUUACAAAAUAAAAAAUAGUUGUUAUAUUUAAACAAAAGAUCACGUAAUGUGAUAACACAUACUCAGAACCGUAACGAAAACGCUUUCCAACUGCACGUUGUUACGUUGGAAAGCAUUUAAUUAUUUUACAGUCACUUUUUCCGUUUUUUUUUUUUUUUGUUUUUUUUUUAGUCCGUUGGUGCGAGUUGCAUGGCAAUGUAAUCCUCAUCAUUGCGGUAAGAAGACGGAGGCGUUUUUAUUGCAGGAUGUUUAAAUUUUAUAGUGACUAAGUCGGCAUCGGCUUUUUUACUUUGUAUUGCCAGACAAGCGAAAUAAAAAAAGCCUCUGCUAGCAGUGAAAGUUGAAUGUUUGGUCAAGCUGAACAUAAAUAGAGUAAUUGGAUGGAAUCAUUGGGGUUGGAUUGCAGUGUUCUAACCAUCACGUAUUAUUAUGAAACCUUGGUUCCAGAGUCGUCUUCCUUCUCUUGCUUCUUCUACUAUCUACAAUCGUAAAUAGAGCUAAACAACCUGGAUCAGUGCACAAAGAGCACAAAAUGCCCUCUGGGGUAGUACUGGUGAUUUGAUGAUUAAAUAUAUUAAUGGAUGGAAUUUAUCCAAUACAUUGCAGCAAGUGAAUGAAAAACAUUUCGACGCAGGGGUAUAAAAUAAGUGUUGCAAACAUAAAUAGACGCAAUGAAGAGUAAGACAUAUGUAUUUGGAAGGAGUUUUAUGAAAGACUUCGUGACCUAAUUGAUAUUCACAAAGGAAGUUAACAGCACAUGCUUGAUUAAGAAUGCGCUGAGUUGAGUGGGCUCCCCUGUGCACCGGAGACUUGAACUUGAAUCUAUUAAUUACAUCCGAACUGAUUCGGGGCAAACGUUGUUCCUUCCAUGUACCUAUUUCUAAAACAAUAGGUUCGACUGAAUAAUGUUUUAGUUUGGUCCGACGUAUGCUGCAAGCCUUAGACAGAGAUGGACAAGUCAGCUCCAACGUGUCCUCAAGACACAGAAUUCCGUUCGAACAUAGAGAAAAGCUGGUAAUAGCGUUUGAAGAUGACGCAGAAGAUCAUCUUCAAGUGGUUGACACACUGGGUGUUAACCGCUCUACAGCUAGAAGCAUUGUGGCGCGAUACAUCCAGCAUGGGCGCAUAAGGGAGCUGCCAAGAGGCGGACCGAAUAACGUGCGCGCAGACGACAAGAUGCGUGACUGUGUUAAAGAAAUCAUCAACGAGAACUGCCUUCUCACCCUACAGCAAAUCAACUGACAGCUCAGGGCACGUCUCCCUUCUAAACCUAAGGUCCAUGACCGGACAGUGGCAAGGAUGCUGGACGGGAUGCUUUACCUGGUUAAGCUCGCGAGACCACUACCCGCGGACAGAAACAGACCAGAUGUUCUGCAUAAAAGGGUGGAGUACGCCAACUGGUUCAUGGCUAUUGGCGUUGUAAGACAUUGUAUCUUUAUAGACGAAUGUGGGUACAAUAUUUGGACUGCCAGAAACCACGGAAUGGCAAGGCUAGGAGAAAGAGCAUACCGACAGUUGUGUAGGAAGCGUGGCCGAAAUUUGACUGUCACGAUGGCAUUAUCCCCGAUUAAUGGGCUGAUAUUCCAUUCAGCAUUCGUUGGUGGUAUAAAUGCUAGACGAUUUGCGGAUGUUUUUUACGCAAGUGCGGCUAAAUCUUGAUCCUGAUGAGAACGUCGUGUUAAUUUAUGAUGGGGCAUCAGCGCACCGCAUCGCCGUUAACCCGGGCCCAAAUACAGAAAUAAAGAUGUUGCCGCCCUACAGUCCGUUUCUAAACCCUGUAGAGCAGGCAAUAAGUUGUUCAAAAGCAGCGAUAAAAGCAGACAUUUUACGGCCUCAAAUACAGGCAGAAAUGAACAACAGGGAUAAAGCAAGGAACAGAGGAGUAACAUUGAGUAUUUAUCGCACAAAUUUGUUGAUUGAAGCGCUUCAGCGAAACAUCAACACCAUCACACAGCCAAAAUGUGCCGAAUGGUAUAGGUUCAUGCAAACCUAUCUACCACGCUGCCUCAACUGCGAAAUGAUCGGGGCGUAAUUUGAGUGCUAGCAUCAAUUAUUUUCCAUGUCUGUGCAUUAUUAGAGCACCAAUAAACAAUAAGUAGUUGAAUGUUUAUUUUAGGAUAUUGUUUGUCAUAAAGGGCUUAUUGUUUGUACGGAGGCGCUAACGAUUGUAAAUAGCACACAAAUAACUUUUAAAAAAAAAUAUUGUUUGCACUUGCUGUAAUAAAAAUGUUCAUGAAUA